ACUCCUACGGGAGGCAGCAGUAGGGAAUCUUCCACAAUGGGCGCAAGCCUGAUGGAGCAACACCGCGUGAGUGAAGAAGGGUUUCGGCUCGUAGAGCUCUGUUGUUAAAGAAGAACACGUAUGAGAGUAACUGUUCAUACGUUGACGGUAUUUAACCAGAAAGUCACGGCUAACUACGUGCCAGCAGCCGCGGUAAUACGUAGGUGGCAAGCGUUAUCCGGAUUUAUUGGGCGUAAAGAGAGUGCAGGCGGUUUUCUAAGUCUGAUGUGAAAGCCUUCGGCUUAACCGGAGAAGUGCAUCGGAAACUGGAUAACUUGAGUGCAGAAGAGGGUAGUGGAACUCCAUGUGUAGCGGUGGAAUGCGUAGAUAUAUGGAAGAACACCAGUGGCGAAGGCGGCUACCUGGUCUGCAACUGACGCUGAGACUCGAAAGCAUGGGUAGCGAACAGGAUUAGAUACCCU
rnacentral:rRNA from 1 species